AAAAAACAGAAGCAGGAUAACAUUGAAGUGGUUAACAUAUACAGAAAACCAGAUACUGUUGAACUGAUAGAUAUGAUAGGUGGCAUCU